rfam:Brachypodium distachyon strain Bd21 chromosome 2, whole genome shotgun sequence.
CAAACACUUUCUCCGUUCAACAAAAGAUGUGUCAAGUUUGUCAAAAUUUGGAUGUAUCUAGACAUGACUUAGUAUAUAGAUACAUUCAAAUUUGGUCAAAAUUGAGACAUCCUUUGUUAUACGGAGAGAGUAUGAU